GGUAGGUUCCUAGUCUUGUUCUUCGCAUGUGAUUGAACUUUGAAGAUCAUGAUCACUUUUAGUCAUGUGCUACUCAUUGCUUUAAGCUAAUGAAUUUGCAUCUGCAGCACCAUGUUCAGCCUACUUCGAAUAGAUGCAGCUAAAGUAUUUGUCUUUUAAAGUUUGUCCUUAAGGAGUGUUUGACUAAAUCACUCCCAAAAUUCUUACUGAUAAAUGUUGAGCCCUACAGUUGAACCAAACUUGAAUACAUUACUAACAUUACUGUUUUGGACCUUGUAGAAUGCAUUUGAGCUCGCCUUCUUCGUUUGGGUUCCAGUAAGUUUUUCUUUCCCAUCCUCCAGAUUUUCCUUUGGGACAUUAAUAUUGAAUCUGGACAUUAUUAGUUUAUAGUGAUCAACAUGACCGUUGAAUCUCAGUUUUCUUUCUUCUUAGCUACGCGAUAUACAAUUUCUUUAUGAUUUGGGGAUUCAUUUGAAUGUACUAACUACAGUUAGAACAAAGUUUUCUUUUAAGCCCUAAUUCAACUUUCUUUUGCUCAGUGCAUUUUUUGGAAAUGUCAAUUGUAUGUUAUACAACAAUAGAAAUCAUUAAGUGAAACGUUUAGAAGUAAUAUGUCCUUUCAAAGACUUUGUCAGUACUUUUUGAAAGUUAAAUAAAACAGAGUGAUACUGGUAGCUUUUAUAGUAACGUUUAUUGGUAGCUUUUAGAACUUUCUACCCUAUGAUAACAAACCUAAUCUGAAGAACCUUUUCAUUUUAUUCAGUUUAGGUAUGUAAAGAUGGUGUGGCUGUGAUUAGGGUUAUCAAUAAAUGAUUGUCAGUGGAUCUGUCUUCUGAGACUAAAUCCACUCAGUUCUAUUAUUUACUGCUAGCUUAACUUUGUUUCUCUGUAUUGCAGCCCGUACAAAAUCUCUUUGAGGAUAAUGAUAUAGCUAAACAGCUCUUACAAAGUGUUUUAGAGAGCAAAGAGCAGUUGAAACCCAUGGUGGCUUUGCUACAGCUUGUUUCUCUAUAUCGAAAGGAUAUUAUUUGGCAAGGAGAUAUCAUUGGAGUUAAUGCAGUGCUGCAGUUAUUCAUGGUUGAUAUCCAAUCAGAAGAUUAGUAUAGUAUUCAUUAAGUUAUUUUUUCUGGUUCAUUUUGUAGUCACUUCAGACUUUUUUUUGUAUGUAUAUUAACAUAUUUGAGUGAGUAAUACAAUCCUUUUGGUGGUUUUCA